GAACAAAAAAUUGGCUACCUGACUCCGGAAGACACAGUGGUUCUUCUCAAGCUGAGGGUGCAGACGGGAAAUCUAUAGAAAUAUCCUGCUUUUCUCCUAGAGGUGGUAGAUCACAUGGGAAGGUCAAGGUAAGCCUCCCAAGCCAAAGCCUGACUACUCCGGGUUCUGAGGAUUGAGCUACCUAUUUCUUCCAUGCUUCUGGUAUGUUUUGCACCCUUAGGUUCCUUUUGGUCCUGGAAGGAAGACUUUUAUCCAAGAGUCUUUGUUUCAUGCCUAGUCUUGAGGUCUCCUAGGAGUUUCUGGUAGUUACCAUGGGAAACCACAAAUAUGGGAAAAUCUUACGUGUUUUAGCCAAUGACAUCAUCACAAAGAAAGAAAGAAAACAAAGGAAACCGGCCACACAUUGUCAGGUUGUCUUGAGCUUGUCCUCAUGAAUGUGUUGGUCAUGCUUCUGAAAUUGAUCACUUCCUACCCCUCAUUUUAUCUUUCUCUUUGCAUUCCCAGAUCUGGUACAUGGGUUCAUUGUAUUUUUCUUUUAUAGGUUAACUAGUCAUCUUUCUCCAAAAAGCUUAUAGUGAGAAUCACCACCUCUCACAGAAAUUACCAGGCAGAGUUAGUUUCUGAUGGAAUCUCCUGCCUUAGUUCUUCCUAUUCCUGCCUUGAUGUGACUACCUGGGAGGUGCAGAUCCCAAAUACAGACCUUCCCUCCCACUGUCACUUGCCGUCCCCACUCACCGUCUUUCUGUGAGCAGCCGAGAGCGUGGAGUUGGGACCAGGCAGGCAGAUGAGAAGAAAGAGGCAGAAGAGACAAAGGCUUCUGGGAAAAGAGGUGGGCAGCUCCAACGAUGAGGCAUCAGGCAGAAAGUGGAGACCCCAGGAGCCCACAAAUCUUCAUGGAACGGUCUUGGGGUGGAUGGAAAAUGGGCUGGAUGGUCUGCAGGCAGCAGGUACCCAGAAGAAGCACAGAGUUUCGGGGAUGGAUGGAUCCUGACCAAGGAUUCUGCCUCAACUUGAAAAUUUUGUCUAGAGCUAAGACACAAAGCAGGAUGCUUGUGAGAAAACAGUGCCACCUUGUCCAGAAAGGAAGCUCCAGUGAAGUUGCAGCCUGCAAAGAUGGACAGAGGAAAAACUGGUCACUGAAAAGACUAGCAAGAAAAAGCCAGAUACUUCAAGAGAAGACAACAGAAAAAAAUGCCCUAGGAAAACAUAAGGACCAGUAGGAUUUCAGGCUUUGCAACCUCAGAGUUGCAAAAGUGAAAAACUUUGCUCUGAGAAGAGAGUCCCAGGACAUCAUGUUCCAGAAUGGCAGCAGUCUGGGGAAGUUAUUCCUCAUGAUUUGGAUAAUAGGCAUUCAUCACCUACAGCCAAGAGAGAGGGAAGCCUAACUACUGUUCCAGCUGGUAACAGGCCUUGGCAUCGUUCAUGUGGUGCUGGUUUUAGGUACAUGUAAAAUGCAAAAGUUGUGGAGUCAGAAAGACUUCCACCCAGAUUUCAGAAGAAGGCCUUGGAGGCCAGGCAGUAUGCCCCUGAGAGGUCAGGUUGUGAAGCUGUGAAUGUGAACCCUAAGGUGCAGUGGAGACCCAGAAGUUUGGAGAUGCCAGAAAUGUAGAUCAUAAGAGGAAAACUUCAAGGAGAUAGUAGAGCUGGCCCAAGAGAGAAGCCAUGGGAGCUACAACCAUUAGCAGUGUGGUGGAGGCACAACCACCCAAGUCUUUUGGGGUUCAUAUCCUGCCACAGAUUGCCUCCGAUGCCACACAUGGAA
rnacentral:lncRNA from 1 species